CCAAUUCCAGAUUAGCUUUACUCCCUCGGCCCACGUCUGUCCCCAAUUCCGACCCCUCCUACUCCAUUAUGCCUGGAAUUCGGCCGCAGCGCCCCGCACCCCAUCACUUACCGAUUCAUUUCACUCCAGAAAAGAAGAAGAAAGGGGACUCGACAGGAACUGCUCGACAUCCCCAGCGCGCAGGUCGACGGCGGCGGCCGGUCGCAGAUCUGCCGGGAGUCGUCGUUUCAUCAGCGCCGCUCCGCCGCCCUGCGGCCAACUCCACCUCGACGCGGUCCGCCUCCCACCGAAUCCCCUCUGUUCCCCCACCUAGGGAUGUCAAACGGCGCCGUUUAUGGUCCGCCAAGCCCGUUUACCACGUUCCCCAGGCUGUUCACAUCGCUGUCACCGGCUGAUUUUGCACUGCGCUGAAGAUAAACAACGCUUGGCGGACAGUAUACGGGCGUCGUUUACAACCCUACCCCCACCAACCCAUCUCCUCCAUUUCCGGCGGGAGCGAAUCCCAUAUGCCCCCUCCCUCUGUCUCGUGUGGUCGCCGUCGUCGUGCUAGUCGGGCCUGUGGCCGGACUUGAGGUAGGCGGAGCAGGAGCAGGCGCCGUCUACAAUUGAAGGAAGGCAGGAAACUCUACCAUCGGUGAACCUCGGCGACACGUACUGGAGUGCUUUGAUUCUUGGUUCAGAUUUGUUCUUUUGCUCGGCUCUGUUGUGUUGUGCUGUAAUGGAGAUCAUGUAUGACUUCUCAUUGUUAUUUAUUUUGUACCGAUGUGUAAUCAUGGAGAGACAUGUAAAUCUUGUGAAAAUUUCGUUACGGUACAAGUAUAAUAAAGUAUAAGCUCGAUACUCAUAGAUAUGUA